GAUGAACGCUGGCGGCGUGCUUAACACAUGCAAGUCGAACGAUGAACCUCACUUGUGGGGGGAUUAGUGGCGAACGGGUGAGUAACACGUGAGUAACCUGCCCUUGACUCUGGGAUAAGCCUGGGAAACCGGGUCUAAUACUGGAUACGACCUUCUGGCGCAUGCCAUGUUGGUGGAAAGCUUUUGUGGUUUUGGAUGGACUCGCGGCCUAUCAGCUUGUUGUUGGGGUAAUGGCCUACCAAGGCGACGACGGGUAGCCGGCCUGAGAGGGUGACCGGCCACACUGGGACUGAGAGACGGCCAAGACUCCUACGGGAGGCAGCAGUGGGGAAUAUUGCACAAUGGGCGCAAGCCUGAUGCAGCGACGCCGCGUGAGGGAUGAAGGCCUUCGGGUUGUAACCCUCUUUCAGUAGGGAAGAAGCCGGCUUUUGGGUUGGUGACGGUACCUGCAGAAGAAGCGCCGGCUAACUACGUG
rnacentral:rRNA from 1 species